rnacentral:misc_RNA from 3 species
AACGCACCUUGCGCUCCUUGGUAUUCCGAGGAGCAUGCCUGUUUGAGUGUCAUUAAAUUCUCAACCCCACCGAUUUGCUUCGGGGGGAUUGGACUUGGAGCGUGCUGGCGAAGGUCGGCUCCUCUUUAAAUGCAUCAGUGGAGAGAAACUUGCCCCAGUGUGAUAAUCCUGUUGCGCUGUGGUGGGUGAAAGUCUGCUUCCAACCGUCCCUCCGGGGACAUAUGUCAUCUUAUUUUGACCUCAAAUCAGGUAGGACUACCCGCUGAACUUAA